rnacentral:rRNA from 1 species
UACGGAGGGUGCAAGCGUUAUCCGGAUUCACUGGGUUUAAAGGGUGCGUAGGCGGAUAGGUAAGUCCGUGGUGAAAUCCUGCAGCUUAACUGCAGAACUGCCGUGGAUACUAUCUAUCUUGAAUGUCGUGGAGGUUAGCGGAAUAUGUCAUGUAGCGGUGAAAUGCUUAGAUAUGACAUAGAACACCCAUUGCGAAGGCAGCUCACUAAACUGUAACUGACGCUGAGGCACGAAAGCGUGGGGAGCAAACAGG